CUCUCAUAUUAAUAGAAAAAACAAACAGAUGAUUUAUGCAUUGAAAUGUUAUAUAUAAAUGUUGACUGUUCUAUUACACCCAUGGAGGUAAGAACCUGACUUCGCCUGCUAAUACUUUCCUCGCAUUUCUUCUCGCGCAGACGAGUCUACACGCGCUCUCGCAUUUGUUGUGCGGGAAAAUCUGGAUUUUUGUGCAUUCCCAAUAGCAUUCUACUGUGCAAUGUGCAUUUUUAUUUCCCUCAUCUCCUUCUGCCAUGGCCUUCAGAGCCAAUGCACACAUUAAAAGGGCGACAAUCAGAAUCCUAUUAUUUGCGGCCAUUGCGGCGAAGAUAAUGAAGAAAAUGUAUUUUGAAUUGAUUAUAAUACACUGAUGGAAAAGGCCAAAUCUUCUCGACCAUUUAUAGAAGAUGAAAGGGUGUGUCAUUGAGUACUUGUAUCUGUUCAGAAAGAAUGCGUCUGUUCAUAAAUGACUCGUCAUUAAAUUUAUGUCUUUUUUGGAGACGGAGGAUGAAAGAAAGAUAUUUUUAAGUUUCACACAAUUUCUUAUUUUCUCUUGCGCCAACAAGAAUUUCCCUCUAA
rnacentral:lncRNA from 1 species